CUGGCCCCGAUCCUGGUUCAGUUCCUCACCUCAUUCCCAUCCUGGCUGCUUGCCCCUCCCCUCAACCUUGGCCCCGGUCCCAGUCCCAAUCCUGAGUUCUCAUCCUCUCUGCACCUCCCAUACUUGGGCCUAGUCCCGAUCCUGCCCCCUUCAUCCCUGGGCCCUGGCAAUCCCCUAGUCCCCUCCUGGGCCCUUUUCCCUAAGCCUAGGGCUCCAGUUACCCACUCACCAAACACACACCCAUGUAAUGCCCUACCUGCUAGCUCCUCCCCUGGCCCCAGUCUUCUCCCAACCGGUCCGUGUGCUGCUGGUGCCCCACAGCCCUCCCAGGUAUGUGACAGCAGUUUUACUGAAGUGGGCUAGCACUGGAUGGCUUCACGGAAGAAGUGAGUUAUAAGCAGGUGAGCAAUUGGCCACUGUGUACCUGCUGUUAACUACUCAAUACUGUUCCAGAGUUUAGCUAAGAAUUCCAGUCAUGGAUCAAGGUACGAAGACAAUAAACCCUAUUCCAGAGAUCUUACAGUUUACGGGCAGACAUGAUGCAACAGGACAGGUUGUUUCUGGAGUGUAACUACAGCUCUUAAGAUAGAUUGGCAACUGUUCAUCUAAUGAACGGGACUGAUCCUACUCUCAGUGAAGUCAACUGGAAGACAACGGGGCCAAAUCUCUCCACUGCUGGCACCAGAGCAUCCUGCACUGCAGCUCCUCUCAUCUGUCUGCCUGACCAACUCUCAGUUUCUUUGCAAAUAUCAGCAGAAAUGGUUCUCCUUGCUUCUGCCUCUGUAUUUCUGCCUCCAUCUGCUAGUAUUUAUUAACAUGAUAGUUGUAUUAUUUACAGCAGUUCUGUAAUGCACUUUUGGAUACAGUUUGAACGAAGGAUGCUACCUCAAACAGAGGUAUUUUGUAACUUAACGUUUCGAUUCUGGACUUAAUUGGCCAGUGGCAAAGUUAGAAAACUACAUUUACUUUGAUAACAAAGGCUGUUUUCCAGUCAAAUUGCUUACAUACCAAAUGCUGAAUUGCAAGGAAUAUUGGCGGACUACCUCUCCAUUUCUUUGCAAAUAUCAGCAGAGGAAGCCAGUCUGAAUGCUACUCUAAAGAAACACAGGUUUGGCUUUUACCUCUGAAUUUUAGGGCUACAUGGUAAUGACCGGAGAUUUCCUCAAAGAGUGCAACUCUGUUAGCUCAUUGCAGCAUAUCUGUAUCUUGUUGUUAUGUGCAAGCAGUUUAAUAAAACGUUAUUACAGCAACAGUAAAGCCAGGCCAGAGAGCACUGAGCAUUCCCCGAACAACCUUAUUUCAGCCCAUUUAAAGUCCAAAAGAGGUUUGGACCAUGGCCCAUCAAAUCUUGACACAAAAUAAAUGUUUUCAUCAAAUGCUGCAAUGGUAUCAAUACGUCCCAUGGUAGUGAUUAACUGGCAGGUAUGAUACGUCAUGGGUAAGAUUCACUGGCUAUAGAGAGUUUGUAUUCUGGCUGUGGGCCACGUUCAGAUCUCAGUUACGCUGGGGAAAAUCUGAAUUAACUCCAGUGAAGUCAAUACAGUCAUCUCCAGAUUUCCAUCAGUGUCACUAAGUGCUGACCCUGCGUUUUUAGAAGUAUUGUACUUGGUGAAUUAGAAAAAUAAACUUUGCAUCCUGGGUAGUGAUAAGUCAAUCCUCUCAUCAAUAA